UGGGAUGCUGAGGGUGAGUGAGGUAAAAGGUGACUGCUCAGAAAUGAAAUUUUCUCUGCAUAUUAAACUCUAUGACGUCUAAUUCCUGUUCAAAUAAGAUCAAAGAAUUGGAAUUUAGUGGAACAAGAUGAAAAAUGUGAGGAUCAGCUAAAAUAAAAGGGGUUGUUCCAGCUGGUAACAUCCUAUUACGCCAAUGACUCUCUUUGUGGAUAUACAACAACAACAACAACUCUUUGUGGAUAUACGACUGCUACUAGUUGAUCAACUUCAUAUGACUUGACCCAUAUAAGAAAUUUAGGUGGAAUAAGAGUAAGAAGUUACCAAAAAAGUACAGUUAAAUUUAAGAGAAUAGGUUUUAGAUCAUUACAGAAAAUUACUCCUUGAAAAGAAAACUUUUAUUAUUACUCCUGAAGCACAUAUUCCUUCCUAACAAUACCUGUUUUUUUGGCAGAAACUACAGUAAUUUUCUUUAGAAGAAAAUCCCACUUCAACCGGACAAGGCCACUAUAAGCUAUAAAACAACUUUCUCUCUUUGUAUUUAACAUAGUUGCAUACUUAUGACUUGGGUUUAAGAUACCAGAUUAAGCUAUAACAACUUUGUACUAAUUCAUGCAGGUGGUUGGUGAUAACACCUGAUUGAAUGGUUAUUUCUCUCCUGAUUAAAAAAAGUUAAAACAAAAGUAAGAAAGUUAACUAAUUAGGACUUAACUAAUUCAAGUAGGAUUAGCACAAUAUGGAUACUACGACAUGUGUAAUUGAAAAUGUCAGAUAGAGGAACACAUAUAUUAAUCAUUAUGAGUUAUUUAAAUUUACAAUCAAUUAUUUUUAUAUGUUCAAAAUCAUCUACAAACAAGAUUAGUCAAAUAUACAAUCUAAAUAUAUUGUUACCUAAUAUAAAAAUGAAUUUAUUUUAUGUAUCUAAAGUCUACAAAAUAAAAGAGGAUAUAAUUCAGUUCAGAUAUUUCAUCUUCUUAUUGACCAUCAUCAUUUGAAAAAGACAUUUUAGUCAAAAUUCAUUUAAAUACAAAUUAACAACUUCAAAAAGAUUCCACCUUAUUUGAAGAUAUAAUAAGAGAGUAAAUAAAAAAUUCCAGUAUUAUAUAUAUAAUCUAAAUAUUCAUGAUUAUAUAAAGUGUCGUGUGUCGGAUACAAAAGUACACCAUUUAAGACUUCACACACAGUUAAACUACAAUGGAGUAUGUACUACAAGGACGUCCAAAAUGUAUUCCUUGUAAACACUAAUAAACCGAAAGAAUUACAUAAAUACAAGUUUUCCUAUACAUACUAUUCUCAUGUACAGAUAGUUUUUAUGCGUAUGUUUGUGUGCUGAGAUUUUACUUUUGGUUGAAUGAGAUGAACAACACAUUUCCACAAAAGAAUUCAACACAAUUAAGUAUAUUAUAUGUAAAACAGAGAGUAGGUUUCUCAGUUCUUACCUAAUGCAGAACAAACAAUCCCAAGAAAGACAAGGUGCCCCCAACAGUUUUUGGGGGAUAAAUUGUGUGCCCCUUUCAAAGAAUUAUCUGCCACUGAGAUAGUGAUUGAGGUGUAGUGACUCAGAAAGUCUCAACUUAGCCAGCAACAAGUAAUCUAGGAAAAGAAAUUCACCAAGGUAACAAGGCCAUUCUUGAAUGAGUGUUGUUCUAUGAAGUUGAGAACUUUAGGAUCAAGGAUAAUUUGUGUUGUAGUUCAGUUAAGAUGAACAAAAAGGGCACUGAAAAGUAGAGAAGAGAGAAGCUGCAGAAAAUGCAAGGAAGGAAUUAGGAAUUGCAGCACAACACUAAAAAAUUGAUACUCGAAUGCAUUUAUUAAGGAUGACUUUUCUACUAAAAGUGUUUUUCUUAUGACCAAAGUAUUUGUCGGUUAAAUGACAUAUAAUUAUAGUAUUUUUGAAAAAAAAAUUGAACUACCAUUUUAAUAAAGUUUUUUUUAUUAUCAUUUUUGUUUACAAAAUUAAAAUUAAAAUUUUGUUUAAAGAAACUCAAUUCAAUUAUAUUCAUAAUACUACUAAAGAAAAAUAUAAAUUUAUUAAUUAAAAUUUAUUUAAAACUAUAAAUUUUAUUUAUAGUUUUACCUAUAAAAUUAUAGGUAAAUUUUAUUUAAUAAAACGCGUAAAGAAAAAAAAGUAUCUACAGAAAUAUAUUGUUAGCUGUUAUCCUUCAUGAAGUAGUACCGAGUCAAUGAAAAAGACAAAUUUUCUAAUAAAAUACAAUUUUCAAUUGACCAAGAAUACAAAGUUCUUUAUACUCCACACUGGAUAAAAAUGAAACUCGGAAAAAUCUAUAUUUUGAUAUAAAUUUGUGCCAAAUUAAUUAUGAAUUCUCCUGCUUGUAAUUCUCUUGAGAAAAACAACUUAAUGUUAAAAUGCUAAAUUUUCCCAUGAAACACAAGAUUAUAGUAAAUAACAAUAGUAACUUGGUUCUCAAUAAAAAAUUUGGUGUUUUCUUUCUGUUUUAUAUUCAAAUCCAUUAAAAUCUUUCCCAACCACAAAGCUUGAUUGACAAAAAAUGUUAUUACUAUGAAUUGUGCUUUAGCACUGGAUUGAGACACUCUCUUGCUUCUAAAACAUCAUUAAAAAACUCUUGAUCUAAGAAUAAAACAACAUGAAGUAAUUCUCAUCUCAUCAACAUGAAGCCAACCAUGCAUUAUUUCCUGUCACCAAAAGAUCAUCAAGAUAAAGUGUGAAACCAUCAGAACAUCAUUGCUCUUAAUAUAAAGAGUGGCAUAAGACAAGGUCUUUUUAAAACCAAUGCUCAACGAUUGGUUAUCUAUCCUGCUGUAUAAGCUCAAGAACAUCAAGUGCUAACUCUUUUCCGCUCAACUGCAAAGAACACUUAAUGAUGAUAAUGUUCGAGCCUCUUGUGCCAUAUUUCUGUAAGGUUUUCCUUGAGAGAGAAAACAACUUGCUCCUCCUCCAAUGGAUUUAGAGAAAAACUUUUUCCUUUCAUUUUUACCUUGAAAAUAUCUGACCAACAACAUCUUUGAUUAAGCAAUAUUUGUUGACAUUUUCUUGCUUCAAAUAUCUAAAGAGUGCCUUGUCAAAAGUCAUGUGAUUGGUAUACCCAAUAUCUACACCUUUAAAGUCGUCAUCUGUGAAGGUGAUGGGUGACAUCCUCGGUCCAAAUGUCACCGCCGUUCACCUGGUGUACUGCCCGAAGGUGUUUCUUUCAAGCGUUGUUUGUACUCCCUCCACCGGCGAAGCUGCCGGCUAAUGGUGUUGAUAACCUCGCGGUUUCUUCUUCUUUUGGCCUCCCGAGGCAAAUCAUCCCUGCGAAGAGGGUCGUCUCUCCGAGACCGGCGGUCUUACCUGCGAUCUUGGUCAUCUCUGGUCUACGGAGGUGAGUGUCUUCUCUUGGAGGACUAAUCUCUGCGUGGGGAGUGCCUUGUAUCUCAGCCACCCCUGACGAAACGGCGUAGGUGUCCAGCUUGAACGAACUCCUCAAUCUUGUCCUUCAAAGCCUGACAUUCCUCAGUGGUGUGCCUGCUAUUCUGAUGAUACAGACACUGUUUUUUCGGUCGGCGUUGUUAGGGUUGGCCACCUUCCUGGGAGGAGGGAUCAACUCGGCAUUGAGUGUCUCGUCCAUGAUUCUUCCCCUCUCGGCUGUCAGGGGGUGUAUCUUAAGAACCGGCUCCCUCAGUCCCGAUUAUCUCUGCGUUUGUCGCCUCGUUGACCUGAUCGGCCUUGGCGGUCCUUCUCAUCCUUGCUCUUCUCUUCGCUGGCCUCGACACAGGCCUGGUUGCGAAACACCCUGAGUUCCUCCAACUACAUGAACUUAACAGCUUUCUUCCUGAGGUCGUCCAAGCUGGUGGCUAGCUGUAUACACAAAUUAUCAGCAAACGGUCCUGGACGCAGGGCUGUCAACAUAUGGUGCAUGACAACGUCCGGGCUGAAAUUUCAAAUACUCAUUGCCACUUUGCUGAACCUAUCAACAAAGGUUCUUAGUGACUCUCCCUUCUCUUGGCAGAUGCCUACCAGGACAAUGGAGGUUAAGUGGUGCGACCUGCUGGUAGAAAACUGAGUCUCAAACUUCACCACAAGUGUGGCGAAGCUAUCAAUGGAGUUGGGUGGGAGCUUGGUAAACCAACUGAGGGUUGCUCCCUUUAGAAAUGUAGGGAACACUCCCUUUAGAAAUGUAGGGAACACUCGGCACAACAUUGCAUCGUCUGAGGUGUAGAGACUCAUGUGGGUAGUGUAGGCAUCCAUAUGCUCGUCCGGGUCAAUGGACCCAUCAUAUCGGUCUUUGUUGAAACCUUUCCACUUGUCCGGCAGUGGAGCUUCAAUAACAGCAUUGGUGAAGGGGGUGUCGGCGGGCCGAGUCCAUCGAGACGGUCGUCCUGACCGACUUGUUGAGACAGGAUUCACCAUCCAUCUCAUGGGUGGAGACCUUGUCCCUUGUCUCCUCCACCGGUCUCGGGUUGGGAGGGGAGGUGUAGGACUUGCCGACAAUAUUAAUCGGUCCAGCAGAUGGUCCUCUCUCCAUCAGUUUCUUCUUCAUCUCUUUGUUCUCCCUUCGGAGAGCCUGCAUUUCUUGUUCGUUCUUCUGGGCAACUUCUUCUGCCUUCCUCUUCAUCUCGACCAUCUCUUUCUAGAGAGACAACAACAACAUUGUCUAGUAAGCUUCGGUCAUGAGCGUCCGAAGGACGUCCAUUGUAAACUCAUCAAAGGGAAGAGAAACAUGUAGGUCCAAGAAGAGACACAAAUACAUGUAGAAAAAGGGGGAACCGGUACCUGGUCUCCCCAUGCAGACACUCUCGGUGGACGAGCAAGGCACAAUGCUAAGGAAGCUAGAAUGCCCGCUCGCCUUUAAAACUGGACAUUUAUCCAAAAAAUUGGAUACAAAAGGCUCGGUCUUAUAAAAGGACAAGAUCCCAACUACCUUAGAGUCCACUCAACUAAGGUCCACCAGAGGAACACCCAACAGGGGAGAGUUCGAUCGAUCAACAACAUUGGCCGGAUCAUCCCCCCUGACAACCUCCACCUGGAGUGGCACCUCGGCCCCCCCGACCGACAAGGAGUCAGUUUUGAAGGACCCAGAAGAAGAAGAUGACGAAGAAGACAGACGAACGAGAGAAGGAGAGGGAGGAUCAGAAAAGGACGUGGGUUGAGACAAGGUUGACAUAACUAACCUUAAACAGAGCCGAAGACUGAGGCAAAUCAAGAAGGCGAUAGAGCACUCGAUUAUCCGAACAAGGGGCGAAAGAUCACUCGGCUAUCAGAGAACUCACAAAGAAAAAGCACAGUGUCUCGACACUGUUGGGACCACUAUUUAUAGGGCCUAAUGACCUUAGAAUACGAAACGACGAAAUGAUCUCAACCGUUAGAUCUCCUGGAUCCAACGAUCAACAAUGCCUCGCGCCCAAAAAAACCCCUCAUUAAUGCGGGUCAUGUCACGCCGCCUGAGGUCACAUCACACCUCGGGAAGUCCAAUAGUCACACACCCAAGAGGAACUAACCGACACCCACCAUUAAAGACUCCGCGAAUACAUCCAUCAUCGAGACUGAGGGCAAGUGUACUAGUAUGGGACGGGACCAGGCUGACCGAGACCCCACGGACGGCCUGACCGAUCGACAUGUUUAACCAUUAACGCUCAAACCAAGACCAGUGAAGUUAAACUACCAUGAAGAAUUAGGUAAUACAACCAUAAGGGUGAUCCAUUCCAUUAUUCGAACCCAAUAAGGUAAGCUCAUUAAAAUAAUAUAAAUAGCACACAUUCCAAGAAAUAAGGGGUACAUCAUUAUCACGUUACACACCCGAGUGUCUUCUACAAGUAUCUCCCCCAUUGAGAGUCGAAGGAAUAGCACGAAGACCGGGAGAACCACAGGAAAGUUUUAGUAGAUUGCCCGAAGAAAGGAAGAUGACGAAGUUUUCAAUAGUUUUCUAAGUCGCAUCUUCCUAGCAUGAAAAUGAUGUGUUUUAUAAAUAGCUUAGUUAAACAAUUAUUUAUAUUUUCUUAUAUUACUUAUACUUAUUGCUUAUAGUACUUAUUUUAAAAGUGAAAAUAGGAUAUAGGAUAAAUCACUACACACUGUAACUAAAAUAAAAAUAGAAAAAAUAUCAAAUAUAACUUUAUGAUUCACAAUCUAUUCAUUCCAUUAAAAAAAUGCAUAUUUUUUUAUAUUUUUGAAUUUCUAAUAAGUUAUUAAUCUAAUGCAAAAUAAAAUGAUAUUUUCUGUCUAUCAUUAUAUUUAUAGUGUGAUGAUUGUAGGAAAUUGCAUGGCAAAGAACAGAAAAGAUAUUCCAAAGCAAUUCGCGGUUAUCAUAUCCGUUUCCAUUUCCAAACAUAUAAAAUCUGGAAUUGCUUGGUUGACUAUUGUUAGAGGAUAUCUAAAAUAGCUGAAACAGAAACAGAAUACCUUUGUCAAGUUUUGUUUAGAACUUUUAUUCACAUACUUUCGAAAUAUAAACACAUAUCUCGUGUUAUUCACCGUAUACUAUUAAUUUUAAAAAUGACUUUUUAUUUCUGAUGGAAGUUGGCUAGCCUGGCUCCAUGAUGACGGAUAACUUCGAGAAGAUCCAAAAGGAUUGCCUCCUAUUUUUACAUAUAAAAGAUGUUACAAAAAAUUAUUAUGAAGUUAUGGUAGAAUUAAAGGCAUGCUUCCUGACAUUUUAUCAUAAACAAGUGGAAGGCAGCAUUUUACCUUAACGCAGUGGUACUCUUCAUAACGAGUUUUCACAAAGCAAGAUAUUAGUAUCUGCAAGAGACCAAUAGUAAGAGAAUGUACGCUGAGAAAAAAUAGUUAAAAAAAAACUUAUGAAGAAAUAUGUUUCUUGAGACAUUGCAAAAAAACAUAAAAUUUUGCAUGUAAACAAAUUAAUAAAACGGACACAAACCCUAAGAUCAGGAUUAAUAUUCUCCAAAAUGACCAUUCUAUGCAAUUUUUGCGAUCCUAUUUGAGGAUUUUUGGACAAAACCUUGCGCAUAUCAGCUAUAAUAUUCUGCAAGAAAAAAAGGUACCUAGAAAACAUCAGCUUUCACAUUAAAAAAAAUGCAUAUAAGAGUCAUAAAACAGGUUUUUAAGCAUGUAAUCAAAUAAUGUUCACCCUAAUUUUGCUAAAAUCCAAGUGACUGAUAUCAAUGUAAAUCUUGAUACGCCAAUAAGAUUUUCUUGCGGAGUUCUUUGUUUCUGCAUGUUGAAUUAAGCUGAAAAAGAAAAAUACAACCUUAUAACAUUAUAAUUUAACCAAUAUGCAGGACCCAAAACACUUAAGAAAGUAAUAAAAUUAUAUCAAUACCGUAAUAAGCAGUAACCAGAUAAAAUUAUCACAAAGUCCGAAAGCAACGUCUUCACCACCGGCGACUUAGGUAGCACUACUAGAUUUAAUACCCUGAAACAAAUGGAACAAAUAAUUAUAUGACACCAAUAGUGGUGAGCUGAUAUAACAGUUCUGUAAGACAAUAUAAAAUCUUCUACUGGGAUCAAUUGAACCAAAAUAUUUCCUUGUAAAGGAUCAUAUACCUGAAUAAAUGUAUAAAAGUAAAUAAUCUAUCCGUAGAGUAAUGUAUUAAAUAAAAAAUUAAGAGGGAGAACCAGAUCAUUUAACAGGUUGACAUACUGCAGAACAUGUCAAAAAGCUAAAUAAAUAGAGACAAAAAACAGAGACGGGGUAGGAAGGCAGUUUAACUGCCAGGCACUAAAAGACUGAAAACAAGUGGUUUAAACUAGAGUGAAAAAAAAAAGCAAGUAAUAAAAGAACAUAUAAUGAUUUACCACAAUAUUAUAUAUAAGUAUGAAGAAUGAUAGGAACACACUUUCCAACAUAUUAUUCUGGACAUACACUCUCCCUGAGAUUCUCAUUACUUCAAAUUUGUUAGAAAGUAGGAAAUAAGUCUGUUGUUAGAAUUUCUCUGAUUAAGCAUAAGCAUAAGCAUAAUUGUAUAUACAUGUGACACUGCUACAAGCUAGUAAAAGCAAAAGGUCAAGUGAGAAACCAUAUACAGGUAUGAGCAUACAUAUCCACUGAAUUGGGAACCUUUCUAGAUUAAGGAAGGGGAAGCUGACCUUGUUAUAAUAAAGUAUUUCAUGAGGGGAGUUAAGGCGGACCGACAUACGAAAAUACAUUUGGAAGACACGUGCCUUAUUGGGGCAUGUAGUCUAGUAAGAUGGAGAGCCGAAUAUUGCUUCUGCCUUAUUGGGGCAUGUAGUCUAGUUAGAUGGAGAGCCGAAUAUUGCUUCUGUAAUUUCAAAGGAAAUAUCUUUAGAUAAAAUCAUCAUAAAUAAAAAGGAGGGUGUAUAUAAUCGACCAAUUCCCCUCCCAUUCUGUCAUUUAAUUUGGAGAGGAAAACCAAUCGUAGAAAAUUAUCUAAAUAUCAGCCAGCAUACCUGAGGAUGAAAACUACGGUUGAGCCCAACUACUCCGUGAGAGAAGUGCAUUGAACCUGUACAGACCAUCUGGAAACAAGUUAAUGCAAUCAGUCAGUUAAUUUCUCAAUAAUGAAAUAAUCAAAAUAUAAACAUAUAAAAUCUGCAAGAAAAUUAAAAAAAAAAACUUAACAAAUCACUCCAAUCUUAUCCUAGAAAAGAUCUCAGUAAUCACAGUUCCUAUAGUAUGACCAUAACAUUUGGCACGCAUUAAAGUUACAUUUCAUUCAACUGAUAAAAUUAAACUCAAUGACUUAUGACAAAAAAAACAGAGAGAACGCAAACAAAAACCCUAAACCCUAAAAAAAACCCCAAACCCCAAACGAAAACGAAAACGAGGUGAUUUUCGUUUUCGUUUUUGCGCUUUGGUUUCCAAAUUUCGUCAAAGUUUCUCGUUAGAGUCAUCGAGAAUAUACCAGUGCAAUAUAGUUUAGAACAAGAAAAUUGAGAAACGCAACAAUGUCAGGCGCCUUGCAUGUAGCAGAGAGAUAAUCUGACCUGAUAGAAAUUAUGUAUGCUGCUGCUGCUUCUUCUUCCUCUUUCUUUGAAGAGGUUAACAAUUUGCGGGGGAAAGAUAAAAAAAAAACCUUUGUAAUUUAAUUUAUAUACCAGUUAUACUAAUUUUUGAUAAAUAAUUAAAAUAUUUUUUUCAGUGAUAAAAGAAAAGAAAGUGGGAAAGUAAUGGAAAAAAUAAAAAAGAAUUAAAAUUAUAUUUUUUUAAUUAUUUAUUUAUAAUUAUAUUAAAAUUAUAUUAAUUAAUUUAUAUAAUAAAAAUAAUUUUAAUAUUGUAUUUAAAUUAAUAAACUAAUUAUUUCAAUAUUAUACUAAAAUAUUUAAUAAAUUAACAUAAAAAAAUUAUGGAAUUAAGAAACAUUACUUUUUUUAAUUAAAAUAUUAAUUAAUUAAUCUAUACCUAUAUAUCUAUACCUUUAUUUGUUAUCAUUUAACUGACAGGAGAGUGAAGAGAUGGAUUAGUUUCUGAUUUAAAGAUCUUCUUCUCUAUUAAAUAAUUGUUAAUAUUUUGUAAACCACUUUUGCAGGAUAAUGGAGAUAUUGCUAGGUUAAUUUUCUAAUUUAUACUGAUAUUCUUUUUUAUUAAAUAAGAUAUUUGUUGUGUCCAUUUGAAAAUAAUGAGUCAAGUAAAAUCUAUAUCUAUAACCUAUAAUCUAUAAUUUUAUAAUAUAUGUAUAAUAUAUAUAUAUAUAUAUAUAUAUAUAUAUAUAUAUAUAUAUAUAUAUAUAUAUAUAUAUACUUCUAUACCUAUAUAUAAAGGGGAUUCCCCUUGACUGCUUUUAAUUUUUUUUCCUAUUUUAUCCUUAUAUUAAUAUUUAAUUUUAUUAUUGUAUUAUGGUCAUUGUGUCAUUUUUUAUUCCCCUCUUAACUGCUCUUAAUUUUUUUCCCAUUUUAUCCUUAUAUUAAUAUUUAAUUUUAUUAUUGUAUUAUGGUCAUUGAGCCGCCAAACGUGAACAAUUUGAUUAUUACUGAGCGGUUACCACUUUCUUCAGUAGUUUUCACCGUCAUCAUUUACAUCCACUUUCUUACGAAGGAGUAGUUUUCACCAGUUAUAUCCAAAGAAAACAAAUGCUCAUAAAUUUUGACACAUUUUGAACAUUCUUCUUUCAUGCUCCAUGUUUUUCUCCUACUCUCACCCAUCUUAGUCCCUCUUCAAUCACCACUGGACAACAACAACCACCAUUGCUUCCUCCUUCUCACACUUCCAAAGCAGAGACAUGUCUCAUUGUUAUAGGAUUUGAACAUUUUUGUUUCUAUUGCUUUCUUAAUUUUUUUUAAAUUUUUGUAUGAAUCCUAAGCCCAGCUUUGCGGGCAAAGUUUGUAUAUCUACUGGUGCUUUGAUCAAUUAGAUACACAAACACUUACGUGCCUGUGUUCCCCUAGUAUAUAUAAAGGGGAUUUCCCUCUUUAAGUGCUCUUAAUUCUUUUAUUAUUUUAUCCUUAUAUAAAUAUUUAAUUAUAUUAUUAUAUUAUGGACAUUGUUGUCAUUUCUUAUUUUUUCUAAAAUAUUUAGUAUAUGUCGAAGACCUUCUUGAGCAACAUAAUGAGAUUGAAUUCGUUUUUUGAUCAUUAGUUUAACAUCAUUUACAGUUUCUUUCUUUGUAUAAUAUAAUUUUUCCACAAAAAAGGAUAUUGUUACAAUUUUGAGAGAAAGUUGGUUGCAAAAUAGUAGAUCAAUGGGUAUAAAAAAAGUGCAACAAAUCUAAUACAUAUACCUCAAAUUUUUAUAUCUUAAUUAUAAAGCAUUAAAGUUAAAUACAUAUUAAUUAUUAUUUUUAUGAUCAUUUAAUAUUUCUUAUUUGUUUUUAAAACUAAUAUUUUUUGUGAUUUUCUUCUGCAUAUAAUAAUUUUUUGGUUUUUUUAGUCUUCUCAAUACAUUGUAAUUUGAUAACAUAAAACCUGUAUUUUCUCAAUAUUGCACUACAUUAUAAUUCAAACACUUUUAACUUUUUUGCUUUGCUUUAUACUAAAUUAUAAAACAAAUGGAAAGUGAUAACUUCUCAUACUCUAAUUCCACCUCUGUAACCAUAUAAUAAUGUUUUUUCAUCAUCACUCUAAUUCAAAUUUGAACAAUAAAAAUAGUAUGUAAAAUUUUUCAAUUUUUUAUUUUAUGCAUUAUCUUAUUUUGGUUUAUAAUUUUCUUUAUGAAGAUCUGAUUUUUUUUUUUAUGUUGUGAAAAUAAUUUAAUGGGAGAUCUUUUAAAAUUAUUGUGUAAAUCAGAAUAAACAUAAUUUUACUAAAUUUAAUGAGUUUUAAUAAUUUUCAAUCAAUAUGCAUUUAAAAAAUAUAUUUUAUGACAUAAUUUUCACAAUCUAUGUUAAAACAAAAUGAGUAUCUAUAUGAUUAGUCUAUAUAUUUGAUUUAAAAAGUUAAAUAUUACUAUAAUCACUAACAAAAUUUAUUAAUUAAGACCUAAGUUUCUGUUAGUUUGAAAUACUAAUUAAGAUAAAUAAAGUAAUAAAAUAAUUAAAAUAAAAUAAUUUGUUUUAGUUGCAAAAUUCAUUAAAGUAAUUUAUCUAAUAUUAAUUAAGAUAAACAUAUUUGUUUAUUUUUUUAUGAUAUCACAAUAUAAAAAUAAAAGAAUAGAUAUAAAAUUAAAAAAUCAUUAAAAAUAUGAGAAAAAUAUGUGAUAAGAAUAUUUUAAUAAAUUAAUACUUCUUAACAAUUUCAAAGUUUAAAAAUAAAAUUUCAUUCUAAAACGUUUCAAGCAACAUUCAAUAUAAAAACCACACUAAUUUAGGUUUAUUUGAAUAACUUUAUUUAGAGAAUAAAAUUGUUGUUUCAUUUGAUAAAAAGUUAAAAAUAUUCAAAUAGGUAUAAAUGGAAUCAUAUAUGUGAAAUUUUUUAUUUAAAAAAAUAUGAUUUUUUAUUGAAAGCUAAGUGUUAAUCCGCAAAUAUACACUUCUUAAUCCCCUUUAUCUUUCUCUGCUCUUUUAAUAAUCAUUUUUACUGCUAAUUAAAUCAAAGUAAACCAUUCACAAUAUAUUGUUGCAUUCAUUUUUCUUAUACUAUUAGGUAAUAAUUUCAUUAAAAAAAUUCGAAAAAGAAUUAAAAAAAAUGAUAAAAAUAAAUUGUAUUUUAUGUAUUAAAUACCAAUCAAGUAGUCAAACUAUAAAGAAAUAUCAUUAUUUAUGAUCCAAGAUCAUACAUAUUGAAAAUUCAAACUACUCUAAAUUUGAUGAAUAGAAAAAUCCGUAAAAAUAAAAAAUGUCGAUAUAUAAUAAUAAUAACAUUAAUAAAAAAAAUUAAAAUACACAAUAAUGAUAGAAAUAAAAUAUUGGAUCCAUAAUAAUAAAAAUAAAAUACAGAUAUACAUUAAAAACAAAAAUAAAAAAUGUGGAUACAUUGGCGCGAGAGUGCCUGUGUUCCCGCUAGUUUAUCUAACAUUAAUUUAGAUAAACAUAUUUGUUUUUUUUUACUAUAUCACAAUAUAAAAGUAAAAAAAAAUAGAUAUAAAAUUAAAAAAUCAUUAAAAAUAUAAGAAAAAUAUGUGAUAAGAAUAUUUGAAUAGAUCAAUACUUCUUAACAAUUUCAAAGUUUAAAAAGAAAAUUUCAUUCUAAAACAAAGUAACUGUUGGAGAUCUCACAUCGACUAGAGAUUAGAGCCUUUCAUUUUAUAUAAGUGGGUGCAAACCUCAACCCUAUGAGCCGGUUUUAUGGGGUUGAGUUAAGCUUAAAGUCCACUUCGUAAUAGUAACAUCCAAUAUAAAAACCACAUUAAUUUAGGUUAAUUUGAAUAGCUUAAUUUAGAGAGUAAAACUGUUGUUGCAUUUGAUAAAAAGUAAAAAAUAUUCAAAUAGGUAUAAAUGGAAUCAUAUCAUAUGUAGAAGUUUUUAUUUAAAAAAUAUGAUUUUUUAUUGAAAGUUGAGCGUUAAUCCUCAAAGAUACACUUCUUAAUCCCCUUUAUCUUUCUUUACUCUUUUAAUAAUCAAUUUUACGGUUAAUUAACCAAAGUAAACCACUCAAAAUAUACUGUUGCAUUCAUUUUUCUUAUACUAUUAGGUAAUCAUUUCAUUAAAAAAAUACAUUAAAAAAUAGAAUUAAAAAAAUGUUAAAAAUAAAUUGUAUAUUAUGUAUUAAAAAUCAAUCAAAUAGUCAAACUCUAAAGAAAUAUCAUUAUUUAUGGUCAAAGAUCAUACAUAUUGAAAAAUCAAACUACUCUAGAUUUGAUGAAUAGACAAAUCUGUUGAAAUAAAAAAUGUUGAUACAUAAUAAUAAUAAUAAUAAAAUACACAAUAAUGAUAGAAAUAAAAAUACACUGAUAGAAAUAAAAUAUUUGAUCCAUAAUAAUAAAAAUAAAAUACAGAUAUACAUUAAAAACAAAAAUAAAAAAUGCGGAUACACAGGUGUGAGAGCGCAUGUGUUCCCGCUAGUUUUGAUAUAAAGGGGAUUCCCCACUUUAACUGCUCUAAAUUUGUUUCUAUUUUAUCCUUACUUAAUAUUUUAUUUUAUUAAUUUAUUUUGGUUAUUUGGAUAUUUUAUAAUUUUAAAAGUUAAUAAAACAGUUUUUUAAUUUUAAAAUUUAUUUUAUUUGGUAUUAUUUAACAGGAGAGUGGAGAGAUUGAUUAGUUACUUUUUUUUAAAGAUCUUUUUCUCUAUUAAAUAAAAAAUUAAAGAUAUUUGAUAAUAUUUUGUGGACCACUUUAGCAAAAGAGUGGAUAUAUUGGUAUAAGGGUGGGGUGUAGAAGGAAGGAAGAUGGCAUGGGCUUCUUGGAGUCAGGUAUGUAAGCCUCGCAGGUAUGGGGGGUUGGGGAAAAUUGAUGUAAAAUUGUUCAACCUGGCUUUAUUGGGGAAGUGGAUUUGGAGGUUGGGGUCGACCGAGAGAGGCCUUUGGAAGGAGAUUCUUGUGUCUAAAUCUGGAGGUUAGAGAAGUUUAGGAGAGGAAGGAAAAGGUAGGAGGUGUUCUCUCUGGUGGAAAGAUUUGAAAGAGGUGUGGUUCUCAAAGGGUUGGGGAAGAAACUUCGCAGACGACUUCAGGUGAAAAGUAGGGGAAGGGAAGGAUAUAUUUUUUUGGAAGGAUAGUUGGUUGAACGGCGAGUCUUUGAAGAGUUCCUUCCCUAGAUUGUUUUCUAUCAGUUCUACCAAUAAUGCUAAGUUGUCAGAGCUUGGCUCUUGGUCGAACGGUGAUUGGGUCUGGCACUUAUCUUGGAGAAGACUGUUUUUUGAGUGGGAGAAGCCGAUGGCGGAGCAGUUGCGUCAGCUUCUGCUCAAGGCUCGAGUUGUUUCGGGAGAGGUGGACGGAUGGAUUUGGAAGGAAGGGGAUUCCCAAACUUUUUCGGUUAAUUCUGCCUAUAAUCUUGUGAGAAAGGAUGAAGAGUCAAUUUCUUCGGCAAUUUUUUGUAAUUUGUGGAAGAGCCAGUUCCCUCUGCAACACUUUUGGCUUGGAGGUUGUUGGAAAACAAGCUUGCUACAAAGGUAAAUCUGAGUAGAAGAGGGGUUUUGGUGGAUAGCUCGUUGUGUGGUUUGUGUGGGCUGGAGGAAGAGUCUUGUUGCCAUUUAUUCUUCGACUGUAUCUUUGCUAGGCGAGUUUGGAGUUUAUGUUAUAGGUGGCUUGGGGUUCUGGUAGCGUCCCAUAUUGAGCCAAAGAGUAACUUUGAUCAAUUUAGGUUGAGCUGCGCUUCAGAAACCGGUUAAUAAUGUCUGGAACACAAUUUGGGUUCGGGUAGUGAGCGAAUUAUGGAAGCACAGGAAUAACAUAAUUUUUAAAAGAGGUGUGAGGAUGCCUUUGAAGUUUUUUCUUUGGUACAAGUAAAUGUCUGGUUGUGGGUUUCUAUUAAUUGUAUGUCAGCCUCGUUUUCUUUUUCUGACUGGUGUUUAGAACCUUAGGUUUGCAUGAGGUUAAUUAAUUGAGGUUGGCUUGUUUAGUAAGUCUGAAGGUUUUAGGCUGGUAUAUGUACAAGGGUUGAACCACCCCUGAAGUGGUUCCUAUUUAUUUAUUUUUUAUUGCCGAUAAUAAAUAAAUAAAUAAAAUGUUACUUUUAAUUUAAAUUGAUAUUUUUUUUUAUUAAAUAAGAUAUUUGUUGUGUCCAUUUGAAAAGAAUGAGUCAAACAAAAGGGUGUUGAUGGACAUUUACUUUAACUAUCCACAAUUGUAGAAUUUUAAAAUUGAUUUAAGAAACAGAUUUUAUGAUUCUCUAAUACACAUAACUCAUGUAUCCUGACUCAAUUCCUUAUCUAGUACCAUUUACACUUUUAUUUCUCCAUCUAAUACCCUUUUGUUUUUAUUUCCUUAUCUAGCACCUUUUUAUUUUUUAUUUUCCUAUCUAGCACCAUUUCAAAAAUAAAUAAAUAAAUAAUAAAUUAAUUUUUUUAUAAUUUUAAUUUUGAAUGUAUUAAAAAAUAAUUGUUUUUAAUGUUUAAAAUAGUUAGAAAUAUAAUUAAUGAAUAAAAGAAAUUAUUUUUUACAAAAUAAAAAUAAAAAAGUAAUAAAUUAAAAAUGUUUAGUUUAAAUUUUUUUUAAGAAUGAAGAAAAUAAUAAAAAAACUCUACAACAACAUAAAAGUUGAAUCUAUAAACAUAAAUUAAUAUUUAUUUUUAUUAUUAUUGAUGACGUAAUUCUGUUAAUUUCAAGUAAAAAAAUACAGGACAUAAUUAUAAAAAAAUCAAAGUCAAUUAUUAUUAAUUAAUAGUGAACACACAAAUAAUAUUGAAAUGUCUACCCUAAAUGCAAAAUCCUAAAAGAAAACUAAUGCAAAUGCUAGACUUAAUGCUUAAAAAUAAGAAAAAAAAAAUGAAAAAAAAUAAAUAAAUAUAGAAAAUAAAAACAACAACAUUUCAACCAUCCAUUAUUUUCCGUCAUCAAAAAGAUCAUCAUAACAUCAUUGCUCUUAAUAUAAUUGAUAUUGUUUCCUUUCCUUUACUGAGAUAUAAUCACCUUUUUCCAAUUUUAACUUUUGUUGACAUUUUCUUGCUUCAAAUAUCUAAAGAGUGCCUUGUCAAAAGUCAUGUGAUUGGUUUGUUGACAUUUUCUUGGUUUACUGCUCAAGAAACAAUUGGCCACAAAUAGUUGGUCCUCCUCCUCUUGAUCAACAACCUUAGCUUCUACCUUUUGCUGCUGAUUUUUUCUCUUGCAUUUGAAUACUUCAUGGCCCAUUUGAUUGCAUCAAGUAGCAUCAGGUCUCCUCCAACAUUUGAAUUGAGGUUGAUCCAUUUUCCCACAAUGCUGACAAACUUUUAUUUUCACCCUUUCCUUUGUUGUAAUUAUGAGCACUGCUAUCACUAGCUGAAUGAUUCUUCAUGCAGUUUUUCUUUUUCCAUUUCCUAACAUGUUUGAUCAUGGCUAGCAAAGCACCUUCAAGAGUAUGUUCUUCUCUCUCCAAUUGCUCUUGGAGUACCUCUCUGUUACCAUAAUUUUCUCAACAAUUCUGGAAUGUCCAACAACUUUAUCUCUGUUCGCAAUACCCAACAAUUUGUUUGAGUAUCUUUGAUUGACUCAUUCUUUCAUCCUUUAAGCUCUAUUUCCCUCCUUAAGUUAAGGACUUACAUCCUGCAUAUUUUCUUGUCUCUUUCAUAUUCUUCUCCAAAAAAAGACAAAUUUAUUUGGAUGUCUUAAAGAGUCAUAAUUCAGGUGAGGAUCAUUUAAAACACUCGCAAACAAACAUGACUUUGCCUUUGCUUUUCUUGUUUUUCUUUCAUUCUGCAUUUUAUGUCAUGGUCGCAUUUUUUAGAACCUUUUCUAUUAAUGUGAAGUUGUGAGAUGCUCCUGAAUUCAAAUAUGGCUUUGCAUGAAGACCCUCUGAUUAUGGUAACAAAAGAUGGAAAACAUGAUUGAAAGUAUAAUAUAUGUGGGAAUAUAUACAUGGUGAAACUACAGUAAUGUAUUGAACAUGAAUUCAGUGAGACGAGGAUACACUUUCAAUGUGCCUAAAAAAAGUAAUCAAGCUAGAGCAUAGACACCCUAAAUACUCCUUUACAUGCACAUCAUUUGCAAGAUGCAUGGCUAACCUCAAAUUACUAUACUAAGGCAAAACUCCAUAUCUUUUCAACCAAAAUCAAAUGAAUGGUUUGGAAGAAUCAGGCUUGUUGGCUGAAGGAACAAAGACUAUGUUAUCUGGUUGAAUCCCCAUGUUCCUUUCCUAAUGCCCUCAAGGGUCUCUAGCACCUGUUUCAUUGAUGGUCUGAGUUCCUUGGGACACUGCACACACUGAAAUGCUAACUCUGCCACUGCUGUUAUCAUUUCCAUCAUGUUUCUGUCAACACCAAACCAAAAACUUGGAUCCACUACCGCGUUUAAUUCCUUGUUCAAGAUUUUCCUCUUUGCAAAUUGUGCAAGAGUAACGUAAUCUGUGCCUUCCAUUAAACUUGGGGGGUUGGAAGAUAUAAGUUCAAACAAGACCACCCCAAAACUAUAGACAUCACUUUUGUCACUCACUCUUCCCGAUUCAUAGUAGUCAGGAUCUAUGUAAGCACGAGUUCCUACUGGAAUAGUGGAAACGUGAGUGACAUAAUCUGGAAGAGACCGUGAGAAUCCAAAAUCUGCAACUUUAACAGUAAAAUUUUCAUCCAACAGAAUGUUACUCCCUUUCACAUCUCGGUGGAUGAUACCUGAGUCAUGGAGAUAUACCAAGGCAGUUGCAGUUUCGAUGGCAAUGUUCAAUCUAGUAUGCCAUGGUAGUUUACCACAGGAAGAGUCAUGAAGAUGUUUAGAAAGAGUGCCAUUGGAGAUGUACUCGUACACUAGCAUGUGUUUGUUGCUAUGGCGAGAAGUGCGGCCAUAAAGUAGAACCAGAUUUGUAUGGUGCAACAAAACCAAGAUCUCAGUUUCUUUCAUGAAUUGCUUAAUGAUCUUUUCUGUCUCACUCUCGUCAUGGAAACAUUUUAUUGCAACCUCUCGUCCAUCCUUAAGUUUUCCUAAUACAAUGGCACACAAUCAGAAAAGAAACAGAUAUAUGCACAUGACUUGUUUACGAGGCUCGGACACUCUCUCAAAUGGCGUGCUGUUGGACACACCUAUGGGACACCAACACUCGUACGACAUUCGUAUAUUGUUGGAUUUCUAACCAUUCUAGCACGAUUCUAACACAAUUUUAAAAAGGAGAUAUACAUUAAUUUUUUAAAAACUCAAACUUAUUGGAUAAAUUUUUAUUAUGAUUAUAAAAAUAAGAAACAAAUCCUUUUGAUCAACCAGAAAAAACAUCUUUCUGCUAAAAAAACCUAAAAGAUACUUGUGCAUGUAAAUAUUUAUUGUUAAUUUAUAUAAUUCAUAAUUAUAUAAUAUAAAGAUUUGUGUCUCUAUAUCCUACAUUUUAGAGAUUAUACGUAUAUCCGCCGUGUUGUAUCAAUGUUCGUGUCAGUGUUUAGGUUAAAUAGCUAUGAAACACUGAUUUGAAUUAUGGGGACUGAUUAGGUUCUCACCAUAGUACACGGUGCCAUAGCCUCCCUUUCCAAGGCAAGUAUCAAAAUUGUUAGUAGCUUCUUCAAGUUCAGCAUGGUGGAAGAUUUUCAAAGCUGAGAUGUAUGGAUUAUCACACAUGAAUAAAAGCUUUUAUCCUCAGUCUGUUUCACCAAAAACACACAGAAGCUAGAAACCAUGAGUAAGGAAACAGGACAAAAAAUGACUUUAUUAUACCUUUUGUUGUGUUUGUUUCAUCUCUCCCUUCCUUUAUGCCAUUGAGAAUCUCUAGCACCUGUUCCAUGUUUGGCCUUAACUCUUGUGGACACUGCAUGCACAAAACUGCAAGUUCAGCUGUAGCAGUCAUCAUCCUCUUGAUCUUAAGGUUAGAUUGGAAGGCAAGUCUUGGAUCCAACACCUCCACCACCUCUUGCUUUUCAGUUUUUCUUCUUAAAAGCAUAGCAAGAUUGUCCUCCUCAUUCAGAAAACAGUAUUUUGCCAGCUUUGAUGAUAGAAGCUCACACAACACCACCCCAAAGCUAUAAACAUCAUUUUUUACACUAAGCUGGCCUUUUGUCAAAUAAUCUGGGUCGAUAUAACCACAUGUUCCAACUAUAUCAUUAGUAACAUGGGCAGCAUACACAGGAACUCCAUCAGGAAGCUUGCAUGAUAAAUGAAGGUUUGCAAGUUUAGCAGAAAAGUUCACAUCUAGGAGAAUAUUUCUGGACUUCACAUUGCGGUGGAUGAUGCCAUAAAAGUGAAGAUAGUCCAAUGCAUUUGCAAUAUCAAUUGCUACGUCUAAUCGUGUCAGCCAAGGAAGUGUGCUGUUUUCAUCUUCACUUUUAAGAUGAGCAGCAAGAUUUCCAUUGGAUAAGUAUUCAUGGACUAGCAUAGAUUCCUCGUGAUGAGAAGCAGACCCAUAAAUUGACACAAUAUUUUUGUGAGGCAAGUAGUUUAGGAUAGUAGUUUCAUUGAUAAACUGUUGCAAUAUGUGGUGCUUGUCUUCGUUGAAGCACUGGAUUGUAAUCUCACGCCCAUCCUCAAGUUUUCCUAAAACAAGGGAAAUAAACAGAAGAAAUUUUUUGUGCAUAACAAAACUUGAGGAUGUUUCAACUUGGCGUUCAAGUUUGUAUUUAUGUUGUUCAUAUAAAUGGCCAUAGCUUAGUCACUUACCGUAAUAUUCAGUGGCAAAGCUUCUUUUUCCAAGACAAUGAGAUUGAUUGAAGUUAUCUGUGACUUUUGCAAGUUUCUUGUAAGGCAAGAUUUUCCAUUUACUCUGCUUUGGAAAUGUGUCAGAAGUGCCAGUGAAGCAGCACUCAAAGAGAUUACACCUCAUUCUCAUAAGGCAAUUAAUAAACGUCAGAGGGCCAUUGGGAUGCUGAGUGAGUGAGGAAAAAGCAGGCUUAUCAGAAUUGCAAAUUACUUUGUAUAUUGAAUUCUAUAAAGUCUAAUUGUGUUCAUACUUGGUGUGGGAAGAAAACAUAUUUAAGUCUAUGAUUUAGCUAGGUGUGGAGGAACAAUUCUUGGUACCUAAAAGACAGACAUAAUUAGAGGGACUAACACCACACUUAAUCCAUCAGAAAACACAAGCAGAAGCUUCUAAUAAACUCAUUGGUGAAGAAAAGGUUUAUUGGCUGAAGUAAAACAUGCAUUAAAGUGCUAAUAUACUUGAUCCACACAAAAAACCAGCAGGGCAUUCUAAUAAACUCAUUGGUCUUUAAUAACUGAAGUAAUAUAUGCAUUAAACUGCUUAUCUUCAUCAAAGCCCUGAGUUGUAUAAUUUCUUAAUUAUGGUCAAAUUUGCCAAAGAGGAGAAUUUUCUUUAACACACACCAUCAGAAGAAAACAUUACUGUGGCCAAGGAGAGCAUCUAUCAUGUAAUCAGAAAAACAAUCACUGCAGGCAAAAUAUUCAGUAGAAGACAUGUUUAAAUCAAAUAUGCUUAGUUACUCAUUUACUCCCUAUGUCUGCACAAUCUUUACUUUUGAGUCCCUACACUUGGAAACACCUUUUAACUUGUUUUAGUCCCUAUACACAAUCUUUUUAAUCCAUUUUAUUCCCUUUGAAUGGCAGAAGAGUAUGUGUAGGGAGGGACUAAGCCAAGUAGUUUUCCCUGUAGGAACUAAAGCAUGAAAAUUGUGCAAGUACAAGAACCACAUGAGUAAUUAAAACAAACUUUCAAUAGGAACAAGUUACCAAUUAAAUAAAGGAAUUCCUUCUUUAGGACUCAUGCUGUGUACCUUCCCUUAAAACAGCAAUAUCUGGUCACUUUUCCCCCCCAGUUAAAAGCAUAUUUUGAAAUAAAAGUUACUAAAUAAGGAGAUUUAACUAGUAAGGAAUUCAUUCCUUGCAAACAUUAUUCAGAAAACAGAUGAUAACAUUGAUUUUCCUAUGCCUACUAUUCUCAUGUUUAAGUAGUUUUUUGUAUAUCCUUGUGUUGACUUGGAAAACUAUCAUCUUACAAAAGAAUUCAUCACAAUUAUGGAGUAUGCAGUACCAAGACAAGGUUUCUUAGUUCUUACCUAGUUUAAAACAAGCAAAUUCAAGAAAGACAAGGUGCCCUCAACAACUUUUGGAAGGUUGAAGGAAUUAACCUUU
rnacentral:lncRNA from 1 species